CCUACGGGUGGCAGCAGUGGGGAAUAUUGCACAAUGGGCGAAAGCCUGAUGCAGCAACGCCGCGUGAAGGAUGACUGCCCUAUGGGUUGUAAACUUCUUUUAUAUGGGAAUAAAGUGCAGUAUGUAUACUGCUUUGCAUGUACCUUAUGAAUAAGGAUCGGCUAACUCCGUGCCAGCAGCCGCGGUAAUACGGAGGAUUCGAGCGUUAUCCGGAUUUAUUGGGUUUAAAGGGAGCGUAGGCGGGUUGUUAAGUCAGUUGUGAAAGUUUGCGGCUCAACCGUAAAAUUGCAGUUGAUACUGGCAUCCUUGAGUACAGUAGAGGUAGGCGGAAUUCGUGGUGUAGCGGUGAAAUGCUUAGAUAUCACGAAGAACUCCGAUUGCGAAGGCAGCCUGCUGGACUGUAACUGACGCUGAUGCUCGAAAGUGUGGGUAUCAAACAGGAUUAGAUACCCGUGUAGUC
rnacentral:rRNA from 1 species